GCGAUCGGAGAUAUUUUGUUCGAUACGCGUUCUGUUCAGUUGCUGCAACGUCACAAAGUUGCAGUAUGCAAAAUUUGUGACAGCGGGGCGGAGAGAGCAGCCAAUCAGGAAGCGGUGACCUCCCCGGAAGUUUACUUCCGUCGUUUGUCGUCUGCUUGCAGACAGUAUACUACAAAACGAAAUGUUUCUCGUCUUCCAAAUGAAUGAAAUCGUUACCUAAAAAAACGUAUUUUAUCUUCUCAAGCCCAAACACGUUUUCAAAUAGUAGUACGUGUGACUACUGCAAUUUAUAACUAUUAGGUUCUUUGCGUCGUCCCUAGGUGGUGUCGCGCACAGCGAGAAGAAAAAAGAAAAAGAAAACGACGGGAGGAGUGGCGCACUUUUCAAGGGGCAGCGACAACAUUCCAGUGGCUCGCUGGCACCAAUGAUGUUGUCGAUUUAUCUGUACAACCAACGAAUUAUUUGUUUCGAGAAACAAAAACGACGCCGGAAUUCACUUUCUGCCAUUUCUUCAAACGCGUAUCGCACCGCCACCCGCUCUCCUCCUUCCUCUAGAAACGCCAGCGCAACAACAAAAGUUCCCAACGGAAGCGCCAUUUUCUCGAAUUAAACUAUGGAUUGGAUUCAAACGUGCUAUUCCGCAGCCGAAAGAAAGCCGAAAAGGCCGCCUGUUGGAUCCAAUCCAAUCCACCAGACGCGCCAUGCGAAGCCGUAUGAUCGCUCCAAACUUCUCAACUCCCGUCGCGUUCGGACGAAAUGCUCGGUGGGCGGAUGAUUGACAGGAGCGUGUCGUCAUUUUGACGUCACCAAAAACGGGGCGGCGCCCCGCGGCUGGCGACGUCGGCGCGGAGAAGGCCAAUCGCGCGCGCCGGUAACCGAACGAACGCGCCGAACAACCAUCUCCGAUCGCACCCCAGCUGUUCAGCCGCAGUACUGCUAUUGGAUUGCAGUUAUACAGGGCAGAAAGCGUUGAAGGCCUCCAAGACUCGGAGGGAACAGAAGCGUUUACAAUGACAAUGAAUGACGUCUUUGAUGCACUCAACACAAAGCAUCCUGCAGAAGGAAUACGAAAGGCCUCGCCGAAGAUUGAGAUAAUCAAGAAGUUUCUCGACCUGCUCAACAUCACGGAACACAACUACCACCACCGAAACAUGCUUAUGUUUGCCUCGCGACAAACAACCGAAGCUUUGCGUGUUACGCUAGUGUCGGUACUCGACAUAAUUGAUGAGCUCCACGAAGCUGGUGUCCCCUACAUACUGACAGUGAAGCUCAACCAAGAUCUCCUAGAGAAAUUUUUCGGAGUUGUCCGUUCAUUUCAUGGCGACGAUGACCACCCAUCCGUACGUAGUUCAAUUCAGCCAGAUUUAUAGAUUGUUGUCUUUGUUCACACCUGUGAAAAAUACAGUGAGAGGAAAUUGCUCUGGCGCUCCCGAUGGUGUACUGGUGUCUCUUCACGACAGCUUGGGGCAAAAGGCGAAGGCUGCUGCUGAGCUGAAAGGUGCAGUUGAAGCAAAGCUAUACAAGAAGCUAUGUGGGAUGAGUCUUUCAGUAGGCCACAUGAAUGACUUGGGCGACCACGGGUACCAAAAAGUAGGAACACAAGAAAUGGUUGUCUACUACCUGGCUGGAUAUACAUUGAAGAAAGUUACGAAAUCCAUGUCUUGCGAACGGUGUGUUGAAUCACUGGAAAGUGCUUCUGUGCCACCAAGUGCGGGUGACCCACGACCCUCGCAUAGCCUUUUGACAGAGCUGAGGUCAUUCAAGCCAGGGUGCUUACGUGAACCUUCUUUCAGAAUGUUCAUCGUCAUCAAACACAUAGAAGAAAUAAUUCGUCACACACUCGACAGUAACGCAGUUUUUGGUGACUUAUUUUGGAGCAUCCUGGACGGGCUAGACAAAGCAUCUGUGCCGGCACUAGGAUGUGACAAUCAUUAUGAGGAGGUGACUGCUAAUGUCAUCAAGUUCUAUCUUGUCAUGCGCAUGCACUUCAUUUCAAAAAAAAUAAAAAAUGAACAGUGGGGCAUCGCUCACAAAACAGGUGCAAGCAGCCAUAAAGAGAGCAAAAUUGCUUUGAGCAAAAGUAGCUCAAAAUUACUUUUUUGUGCACAAAGUAAAUAAAAAGUGUCACUGUG